rnacentral:rRNA from 1 species
AGUCUAAUGUGAAAGCUUUCGGCUCAACCGAAGAAGUGCAUUGGAAACUGGGAGACUUGAGUGCAGAAGAGGACAGUGGAACUCCAUGUGUAGCGGUGAAAUGCGUAGAUAUAUGGAAGAACACCAGUGGCGAAGGCGGCUGUCUGGUCUGUAACUGACGCUGAGGCUCGAAAGCAUGGGUAGCGAACAGGAUUAGAUACCCUGGUAGUCCAUGCCGUAAACGAUGAUUACUAAGUGUUGGAGGGUUUCCGCCCUUCAGUGCUGCAGCUAACGCAUUAAGUAAUCCGCCUGGGGAGUACGACCGCAAGGUUGAAACUCAAAAGAAUUGACGGGGGCCCGCACAAGCGGUGGAGCAUGUGGUUUAAUUCGAAGCUACGCGAAGAACCUUACCAGGUCUUGACAUCUUCUGCCAACCUAAGAGAUUAGGCGUUCCCUUCGGGGACAGAAUGACAGGUGGUGCAUGGUUGUCGUCAGCUCGUGUCGUGAGAUGUUGGGUUAAGUCCCGCAACGAGCGCAACCCUUAUUACUAGUUGCCAGCAUUCAGUUGGGCACUCUAGUGAGACUGCCGGUGACAAACCGGAGGAAGGUGGGGACGACGUCAAAUCAUCAUGCCCCUUAUGACCUGGGCUACACACGUGCUACAAUGGAUGGUACAACGAGUCGCGAAACCGCGAGGUUUAGCUAAUCUCUUAAAACCAUUCUCAGUUCGGACUGUAGGCUGCAACUCGCCUACACGAAGUCGGAAUCGCUAGUAAUCGCGGAUCAGCAUGCCGCGGGGAAUACGUUCCCGGGCGAGUUACACCCCGCCACAGUGAGUCGAAACAAGGUAACCGUAGAGUUUGAUCCUGGCUCAGUAAGUCGUAACAAGGUACCGAGAGUGAGC